rnacentral:lncRNA from 1 species
UGACAUUAGUCACCCGUAGACCUGCUGGACCCACUGUAGCUAGCAGCAAGGUGUAGGAUAGUCAGUCCCGUAUAGAUCUAUACACAACUCACGCUCUCCCUCCAGGAGACCCGGGUCGAAAAACGUGACACAACAGUAGAUUAUCAUGACAUGAAGUAGUGACUCACAUUAAUGGUAUAGUGUUCUAGUGUUUAUAGAGUACAUUCUAGUGUAUUGUAUGUUUUCUCUGUACUAGUGUAGUGUAUGUUCUCUUUGUACUAGUGUAGUGUAUGUUCUCUUUGUUUCUCAUCAUAGUAUGUUCUCUUGUAUAAUGUAGUGUAUUGUAUGUCUCUUAGUUUCUCAUCAUAGUAUGUUCGUUCUGAUUCUCAUAAUAGUAAGUUUGUAUUAACUCAUGAAUAAACUGACUCUUGUAUGUCUCAUUGUACUAGAAAUAGUGAGUAGUGACUUCCUAAACUAUACCUAUUAUAGUUUACUAGUAGAGUUGUUUGUAUAAAUGAACAUGUUUGUACACCUUUGCUACCCAAAGGUAUUGAACUGAACGUAGAACUUUAAUAUCCAUAUAUAUACACAUAAUAUAUAACUAAGAUUCAAACGACCGUCAGACAAACAACUGAAUAUCCUAAGUCCAAAACCAAAAAAGGAACAGGAAGUAGGGCGAGUUAUUAGUCCUAAGUCCUUUCAAUACUACUUAUAUAACUAUAUCUACAUGCACAAGAUUUUGACAAUAUAAGUUUCAAAGAGUUUAAGAAGGAGUUUUGCAUGUAAAAAGUUUGUAAAACUAUUUGAAGUAGUUUGUUUGGUAAAACAAUUAAAAUUAUAGUAAAUCCAUAUGUUUGAUAGUUAUUAAUCACAUGUGAUUGAUAUAAUAACUAUAAUGUUUCAACUUGUAUCCCUCCCCCUAUAAAAUCAUUUAAAAGAUAAGUUAAGGGGUAUGAACUCACGUGCAGUGAGUGAUACGAAUGAUAGAUCGGUUUACAGGAUGUUAAGUGCCAAGUGAAGAAUUGAGCACAAUGGAUCCUAAUAAGCAUAUAAUGACACAUAUAUGUAUAUACUUAGUGCUUAAACAAACAAUUAUGCAAGGAAAGACACCCUAAGACAUAGAAAACACCUAGAUCCAGGUGUUAUAAGUACCAAGGGUUGCAUAUAUUGGGUGUAUGGCCACACCUUGGGGUGUACGACCAAAAUGGGAUGUUUCAUAUGUGUGUACGGCCAGAGUGUACAACCCAAGUGGGUGUACGGCCGCAUACUCAUGGUGAAACAUGCCCAUGAGUGAUUUAAAGUCUUAUUAAGCAUCUAGGAAGUGUGUUUUGACCAAUGCUUAGCCAGAAUGGAAGUUUGAUGCUAAUUUGGGCCUUUAAAAGGGUGUGUAUGGCCACACAAGGAGUGUACGGCCGUACACCCUUGAUGAUCAUGCAAAAAUGGUCAAAAGUGUAUUCCAAGUCUCUAUCUUGCAUCCCAUAAAUGUUCUUGAUCAUGUACUUGCUUAGAACUUGAGUUUGAAGCCAAAUAACACUAAACAAAGGGGUGUACGGCCACAUGGGGUGCGUAUGGCCGUAAACUCCUUGAUGAUCAUGUCUUGGAUGGUUUUUAAGGAUUAAUACUAGUAAAUAACAAGCACAACGAGUGGUACUUACGAUAUAUAAGCCUUUAGGGGUGUUUAAGGUCCAAAAACUUAGUAGGUGUUCUUGGUGUUCUUGGAGAACACUUGAAGAUCUAAACAAAAGGAGAAAAUUCAUGGAUGAAAUCAUGUAUACUUACUAGGUAGUAUAAUGAAUCAUUGAUUCAAAGGAAGAAACACUUACAACAUGAAGAUCUAGAAGGAAAACCGGAUGAUACUUGAGAGAGAAGUUGAUUUCUUAGCUUAGGAGUGUGUAAAGUGAUGAAAAAUGGAAGAAUACACUAUGUAUACACAUGACUGUACGGCUAGGAUGGGUGUCCGGCCGUACACCCAUGUGUGCAGCUGCACAAACCUCAUAAAGUGGUGUUUGGGUUAAUUGAAAGGUGUUGAACUCAUAUACACUCAUUCCUAGCCUCAUACCUUUGUUAUACUAGGCUUAGAACACUCAUAUUGACUCUAAACAAUGCCAGUUGAUAGCAAAUAUGAGUCUAACUUUGAUUGAUUUAAAUAAAUGUACAAGGUAGAAUGUCACACCCCCAAACCAAGGAUGGCGGAAACGUUCGAGGGUGGAGGACUUCAUGUAGAGUAUCACAACAACGAGUAUAAUAGUGCUCAAAGUAAAUACAACCAUCAUAAAUAUAACUGAAAAAGUUACACCAGUGUAUAUGUUACAUGAAUCGAAUCAAUUACAUUAUGAAACAAAAUGAACUGUUUGACAAUUUAUCGUCCCAUCCUCAAAACGUUGUUGGUUUCCUGUUUUCACUGAAUUCUUGAGAAUACAAGUAGUUUUGAAAAGUGUCAACACAAAGGUUGGUGAGUUCAUAAGAGAUUUUAUUGGAGAAAUAGAUCGUUUUCCUUGUAAAAAUGAUAUGAUAUGUAUUCCGAAAAUCCGAUAUUUUCUUUAUAAAGUUUAUGUAAUGUAGUCUCAUAACCGAUGACCAAAAUGUAUAAGUAACCUUUCUUAUUAAAGGAAAAUAAAAUGUGCUUAAAUUGACAUAAACGCACUUGAAUUAAAUGAUGUUCCCGCAAAUUCUUAUGUUUGUUAAUACUUAAUGUAUAUGUAGUCCUAAGUCUCAGGACCGAGAAAAUAACAAGUAUCGUCUAUACUUAAAGUUAUAAAUGUGGUUUCAAAUGAUGUGUAGUCAUAAAUACCAAAAACCGAACGUAGACAGUAAUAUCGGUACUUAUUGAGAUAAAAGUGAUUUUAAAAUCGACAUAAAACCCAUUAAAGUUUUAUAAAAAUCCCGUAAACUUUAUGUAUUGUUAUAUCCUUAUGUGAGCCGCUAUAAUCAUACUUAAGACUAAUGAACCUGCCACGACAUUUCUCAGGCGUCGAAUAACUGAAAUGACAAUUAUCACCCGUAGACCUGCAGGUCCAACUGUAGCUAGCAGCAAGGUGUGGGGUGUCAAACCCAAUAUAGAUCUAUAUACAACUAUCACGUUCUCCCUCCGGGAGACUCUGAUUAUAACGUACAGGAUUUUAUAUUCCGCACUCGGACGUACGGAAAGAGAAUGUCUCACAAUCUAGGUUAACAAGUUUACAAGUUGUAUGCGGGAGUGUAAAACCUUUCUGUAUGAAUGUACCCUUUUCGUACGUGUGUGUUAUGUGAUGUAUCGAAAACUAUACCUAUUAUAGUUUUAUCCAAAACGUUUGUAAUAUAUAAGAACUCUUUUAUGAAAAAGCGUUAGGAUUAU